rnacentral:rRNA from 1 species
UACGGAGGGUGCAAGCGUUAUCCGGAAUCACUGGGUUUAAAGGGUGCGUAGGCGGUUUUAUAAGUCGGUAUUGAAAGCUCGCAGCUUAACUGCGGAAUCGGUAACGAUACUGUAAGACUUGAAUCAGGUUGAAGUUGGCAGAAUGUGACAUGUAGCGGUGAAAUGCUUAGAGAUGUCAUAGAACACCGAUUGCGAAGGCAGCUGACCGGACCUUGAUUGACGCUGAGGCACGAAAGCGUGGGGAUCAGACAGG